UGGGGAAUAUUGGACAAUGGGCGAAAGCCUGAUGCAGCCAUGCCGCGUGUAUGAAGAAGGCCUUCGGGUUGUAAAGUACUUUCAGCGAGGAGGAAGGCGUUGUGGUUAAUAACCGCAACGAUUGACGUUACUCGCAGAAGAAGCACCGGCUAACUCCGUGCCAGCAGCCGCGGUAAUACGGAGGGUGCAAGCGUUAAUCGGAAUUACUGGGCGUAAAGCGCACGCAGGCGGUCUGUCAAGUCGGAUGUGAAAUCCCCGGGCUCAACCUGGGAACUGCAUCCGAAACUGGCAGGCUAGAGUCUUGUAGAGGGGGGUAGAAUUCCAGGUGUAGCGGUGAAAUGCGUAGAGAUCUGGAGGAAUACCGGUGGCGAAGGCGGCCCCCUGGACAAAGACUGACGCUCAGGUGCGAAAGCGUGGGGAGCAAACA
rnacentral:rRNA from 1 species